UGGAAAAGCAGAGUUGCCCUACCCUGAGUUU
rnacentral:piRNA from 1 species